UGUGUUCUUUUACGGUCCUCCAGGAAACAAAGCCGUAGUGACUCCAAACCCCCUCGUGGACGACGAAAGACGUCGUGUUUACAACUGUGGCAAUGAACGCUUAUCAGGAUCAAUUAAACGCUGGAUUUUCAAAAGAUGUCGUGGUUGUUGAGGUGGCCGCUCACAUGGAAACGCGGUCCACGAAUGCCUUGGUUGAGGCGGAUGUUGAAGAAGCGAGGGUUGAGGUGCAGAUGAACGAAGGUCUUACAGGUGUGGAACGACAUGAAGGUGAGUAAUUAAUGACAGAAUUUUCAUUUUUGUGUGAACUAACCCUUUAAUUGUUUCCACCAGAUUUAAUCUAUUCUCUUCCUUGUGCUUUUUGUAAACAGGAUAUGGGACGCACCCACAAAAUGAGCAUGUGUCCUUCCGGAGCACAUGUGUAACAUUGUAUCACCAGAUACAGAGAAGCCAUAAUGUCAUCAUGACAACACUAGUAUUGCUUUAUUUUAGGUUUAGACAGAAAUCGUCUUUGAGGAGUCCCUUUUAAGAGAUAAACUGAGGAUAGAUUAUUUCCUAAGCUUCAAACAUAUUAAAUAUUGCCAUCAGCUCAAGCUGAUCCCCAUGUGGUUGUAAAUGCUGUUGGUUAUGGAUUCUAAUUUUAGCUGUUUCACCUAAAAAUUCAGCCAAUCCAGAAGAUUUAAUGUGCUCUUUUUCCAAUGUACACUACCAUUCAGUCAGUAAGAUUUCUUUUUCCAAAAGAAAUAAAUACUUUUUUUGAACAAGGAUGCAUGAAAUUGAUCAAAGUGACUGUAAAGACAUUUAUAAUGUUACAAAAGAUUUCUGUUUUAAAUAAAUGCUGUUCUUUUAAACUUUCUACACGAAGUGCUGGGUUAAAAUCAAAUGCAGUGAUUG